AGCAGGAACAGCCAAAUAAGGACUUGUUUUUAGCGGAAGGCAGAAACAGGACUUGUUUUUCACAAGGAGCGGUAGGCGGAAACCGGCGCCAUCUCUGGGGCGCAGGACCUCGCAGCUCCCUACACAAAAGCUUACAAUUAAGAAAUUGUCUUCAGUCUGAGAAGAGUUUUUAGACUUUGGGAUUUUAAACAACGUUGAAAUUGUGAAAGACCAUGGCAACAUUUGGAGUUGGACUGAAGCUAAGCGUAUCUUGCAUUGUGAUGUGGCCAUGAGCCUUUAGGAGCCAAGGAAUGGAAUGUGGGGGGUAUAAAUGAGAAUGUCCCCCACAGGCUUGGAUGUUUGAAUACCUGGUCCCCAGUUGGUGGUGCUGUUUGUUGGGGAGGGGGCUCACGAGAACCAGCCUUUCUAGGGGAUGUUUGUUACUGGAGGCUGGCUUUGACGGUUAAUAUUAUAUACCAUUACUACUUUCCUCUCCCUGAGAUAGAAAAGUAUGUUUCCAGUUCUAGUUGUGAGCUCUCUCUCUCAGCUUCCUGCUCCAGCUGCCAUGUCUGUUACUCAUUGCUAUGCCUUUCUACCACGAUGGACUAUUAGCCCUCUGUAAGCCCAAAUAAACAGUUCCUUCUAUAAGUUGCCUUGGGCAUGUUAACAAAAAAGGUAAGUGAUAACAGAAAUAUUAUAAUCAUUUGCACACAAAUUACAAGUGAAACUGAAAAAAUAUCUAGAAAAAAUACAAACUAACAGAGACUGAAAAGGAAAAGGCACCCUAAAUAGACCUAUGGGAAGUAAACAGGAU
ensembl:lncRNA LOC108352071 uncharacterized LOC108352071